rnacentral:misc_RNA from 1 species
UUGCUCUUUCUCGAAGAAACACGACCGGUGCACACGUGACAGAAUUCUGCCGGGGAGGCACUGCCUCCUCGGCCCCACCGGCCCCGGUCCUCUCGCCCCCUGGGUGUGCUGGUCGCGGGUCGGAAUACGGCGCGGGAUGACGCCAAGGAACACGAGAAUGCCGAGGCAUCGGCGAGCCGCUCGGGGUUUGCGCCGACUGCCAAGGCCACUGAAAAAAAA